AUGAGGGACACAGGAAUCGUGCUCAGUGAUGACGUCUGCCAGCUGAUGCUUAUCCGCUACGGUAGCCCUGACCUCCAGAUGGCCUUCGUCAGCUUUGUCCGCUUGAUGCUGCGUGUGGAGGACCUGCAGGUGGCUGACGAUGACUCUGUACUCCUGAGAAGGCUGGACGCUCGUUGGCCCUCACUGAGGACUCUGCAUAUGGCCCAAGGGUGGCCUUUGGUUGAGACCAGCCCAUGCUCAACCCACCUACAGUUCUUCAGGACUGUGUCUCCAGCCAUCACCUUCUCGUCUGAUCCCAGAGGCAGGUCUGCCUUACAUACAAAAAGCCCAACCUUUGUGGAAUGCAGUUAUCCUGGCAAUCAAAGGAAAUGGAAAACCAUUAUAAAUUGAAAAUCUACUACCUCAUAAGUAUGAGCUAUUUCUUUUUCCCAAGAGAUGCAUUAUUUCUCCCAGAGGAUUUGUGCUUGGACUGGGCAUCAGGUGUCUUUUUCUAUUACCGCGCAAACCCUCCUUCUUCGGAUCAAGCCAGAAAAAAGGAAUUUGGCUCUUUGGAGCACAAGAGAAAUAUUAUUUUCAGUUGUCUCAUGAAAAUGAUGACACCAAGGGUGAAACAGCCAGAGGAUGGGCAAAAUAAAUUGCCUGUGGUGUAGAGGGGCUGCAAAAGGGAAAGAAUUUUUAUUUGAAAAGAACAACAUUCUACCAGCAGGGGGAUGGUUUUAAUAUCGUCGUCUGAUGCACCCCAGCUGAGUUCAAAUGCUAAAAGCACUUGUCAAACAAUCUCUGUUUAAUUAAUAUUUGUACAGCACUUAAUGAGGGAAACUGAAGACAGGUGAGCAGUAUGGCUACAAAAACGACUUUCCUGUUGCAAUGUAGCUCGUUCUCAGGUGGACUGAAGCGCCUCUACCUGGAACUCCUAUCAUUACUCAAUGGAAACUCAACAGAAAGGAUGAACCAGAUCUUUGGGCGCUCAACCUGCAUCCUAACCACCAGCUUGCACUUUCUUGAAGAGUUGGGAACAGGCUUGUAUUUAUUUAUAUUACUCAAAUCGCCCAGAAUCUGUGCCCACAAUGUCUCUGUUGAUUGCUGAUUACCUGGAAACUUCUGGGCUCGUUAGCCCCCAAAAUGUCUCCGUUCCCUGUUUCACUUGGUCUAUUGAACCUAGUGAGGGGUGUCACUUGGGAGAAUUGGGGGUUCGGGGUAGAUGCGUUGUAAUGCAAGCUCUACUGAUGAACUUGUUGUCUUGCUGGAAAUAGAUCAGGUAGCUUCUCUGAGCUCUACUUUCCUCAAUUACAAAAUAAGAAGCAUUGAACUAGAUGGUCUCCAAGGCCCCUUCUGACUCUAAUAGAGUCUGCUCCACUAUUUCCCCUUUGUCUUGGCUGGGUGUAUCUGUUCUAAGUUAGUAGACUGUUGGUAAACAGGAAAUAGUGCUUAUUGAAACAUUUGUGGCUGAAGUACCGGUUGUAAACUGGCGAGCAGGAGGCUGGAUCCAGUCUGCAGACCUGUUUAGUUUAGCCCACCUAAUUUUUCGGAGAGGGGGUGGGAAUUGAAUUAGUUAACAACAGUUAAAAUCCAGGCGAUAUCACGAAGUUGGACUUGUGUUUCUUUUGAGAAGUUGGAAAACUCUGGUACCGCUUCAUCUUCAUUGGCAAUGAUCUGCUUCCUUGUGAGUCCUACAUGGACCCAGCCCCUUCCCGCUGUGUCCUCAACAAGAAAGUUGAAUGUCAGUUUCAUUGUUUUCAUUGAUCUCAUACCAUUUCACUCAUUCAUGGCCCACGGAGUUAUGUGGGUAGAGGAAGAGAGGGUUGGAGGGAUAAUUAGAGUCUGAUGUCAGGAACCUCCUGACCUUUGAAGAGACAUCUGUGCCAGGAGCCUGGCUGCUUCCUGAGAUGUGUGAGCUGCUAGGUGGAUAAAGUUCCUUCAGUUGGGUGGAUAGAAUCAGACAG
ensembl:lncRNA